UACGGGGGGGGCAAGCGUUGUUCGGAAUUACUGGGCGUAAAGGGCGCGUAGGCGGCCUACUAAGUCGGACGUGAAAUCCCUCGGCUCAACCGAGGAACUGCGUCCGAUACUGGCGAGGCUUGAAUUCGGGAGAGGGAUGUGGAAUUCCAGGUGUAGCGGUGAAAUGCGUAGAUAUCUGGAGGAACACCGAUGGCGAAGGCAGCCUUCUGGGCCAACACUGACGCUCAUGCACGAAAGCGUGGGGAGCAAACAGG
rnacentral:rRNA from 1 species